GAUGAAGAACGCAGCGAAAUGCGAUACGUAAUGUGAAUUGCAGAAUUCAGUGAAUCAUCGAGUCUUUGAACGCACAUUGCGCCCCCUGGUAUUCCGGGGGGCAUGCCUGUCCGAGCGUCAUUGCUGCCCUCAAGCACGGCUUGUGUGUUGGGCCUCCGUCCUCCUCCCGGGGGACGGGCCCGAAAGGCAGCGGCGGCACCGCGUCCGGUCCUCGAGCGUAUGGGGCUUCGUCACCCGCUCUCGUAGGCCCGGCCGGCGCUUGCCGACACAUCAAUCUUUUUUCCAGGUUGACCUCGGAUCAGGUAGGGAUACCCGCUGAACUUAAGCAUAUCAAUAAGCGGAGGA
rnacentral:misc_RNA from 1 species